AGAGGAGUCACUUUGCUUUCGGCCGCUUUAGUGAACAGACAUGUUGCUUGAGGUCUAUCCAAGGAAAAGGGUUUAACUGUCAUUUAACAACCGCCAAGUUCGGUGUGCAGUUCAAUUAAAUGAUGUAUGAGUGUAGACUGUCCCAUCGUUCAAGAAGGCUCGACGUGAAGGCAAAGCUUAAUCGACAAGAUGGAUUGAUCAGGAAGAGAAGGCUGCUAAAAACUUAAGUGCUAGAACUGUUAACAAAAAAUGCAUGGAAAAUGAUAAGCUUUGAACCUUGUGAUGAAAUUGGGAAACUGGAAGAAGGGUCAAGUCGACUGGACGGUGAUGAAGACUUCCAGUAUUUGUAUCGGGCUCUGGUUCGGCUCUGUAUGGAUAUCAAAGAAGACAGAGGCUGGACAUCCGAUGUUGUGGGGUUGAAGUUGGAAGAAAAACAGCAAGAAACGGAAAGCAAAAUGGUGAAAGCAUGUGUGUGGAUAACAAAAGUAGGAGGAACUGGACCACUGUGAUAUAGUUGGAAGAUAUUCUGCAGAAAACAAAGAAAAAUUAAGGUAUGUGUGGACAAGAGGAGGAACUUGACCAUUGUGAUAAAGUUGGAAGAAAUUCAGCAGAAGAAGAAAAAUGAAGCCAUGUGUGUGGAUAGAUUUUGGAUUAUCAUUAAAUUGGACGAAAUGCAGAAAACACGUGUAUAUGGAUAAAAUGAGGGAUUGUGAUAAAAGUUGGAAGAAAGAUUUCAACAGAAGCAGAAAAAGCGAGUAAUGAGAUUGGACUCCCGAUACAAAGAAUGGUUUGGCUCGUAUUUUUACUUUGUUCUUCCUUCAAAGGCGACUUGAUCACAAUGUCAUCUUGACAAUGGCUUGAGCUUUCAUUUUUCAUAUGCAUUGGAGGGGGCCAAACUGCUCACACAAUGUCGAGAUACAGCCAGUAGCCGGAAGUUGGUGUUCGAAACUGCAAUUCACUUUCUUUUACACCACCUCUCAACUAAUGGAGGUAAUGUCAUAAUUAAAAUGUCUAAAUGUUUAAUAAUAAAAAGUUUAAUAAUAAUUAAGCAAUAAAUUAGUUCUCCUUCAGCCACCACCACAUUCACACUCCUGGUUUUGAUUGGUAUGCGCAGCCUUUUCUGU